rnacentral:rRNA from 1 species
UACGGAGGGUGCAAGCGUUAUCCGGAUUCACUGGGUUUAAAGGGUGCGUAGGUGGGUUGUUAAGUCCGUGGUGAAAUCUCCGAGCUUAACUCGGAAACUGCCGUGGAUACUAUCAAUCUUGAAUACUGUGGAGGUAAGCGGAAUAUGUCAUGUAGCGGUGAAAUGCUUAGAUAUGACAUAGAACACCGAUAGCGGAGGCAGCUUGCUACACAGUCAUUGACACUGAGGCACGAAAGCGUGGGGAUCAAACAGG